rnacentral:rRNA from 1 species
CGAUGAAGUUCCUUCGGGGAUGGAUUAGUGGCGAACGGGUGAGGAACACGUGAAGAAUCUGCCCUCCACUUUGGGAUAACUCCGGGAAACCGGGGCUAAUACCGAAUAUUGAAACAUAAGCGGCAUCGCUGAGUUUUGAAAGAAUUUCGGUGGAGGAUGACUUCGCGGCCUAUCAGCUUGUUGGUGAGGUAAUGGCUCACCAAGGCAACGACGGGUAGCCGGCCUGAGAGGGCGACCGGCCACACUGGGACUGAGACACGGCCCAGACUCCUACGGGAGGCAGCAGUGGGGAAUAUUGGGCAAUGGACGCAAGUCUGACCCAGCGACGCCGCGUGCGGGAUGAAGGCCUUCGGGUUGUAAACCGCUUUCAGCAGGGAAGAAGCGAAAGUGACGGUACCUGCAAAAGAAGCACCGGCUAACUAUGUGCCAGCAGCCGCGGUAAUACAUAGGGUGCAAGCGUUGUCCGGAAUUAUUGGGCGUAAAGAGCUCG